rnacentral:rRNA from 1 species
GAUGAACGCUGGCGGCGUGCUUAACACAUGCAAGUCGAACGGAAAGGCUCCUGCUUGCAGGGGUACUCGAGUGGCGAACGGGUGAGUAACACGUGGGUGAUCUGCCCUGCACUUCGGGAUAAGCCUGGGAAACUGGGUCUAAUACCGGAUAGGACCACAUUUUGGAUGGUGUGGUGGAAAGUUUUUUCGGUGUGGGAUGAGCUCGCGGCCUAUCAGCUUGUUGGUGGGGUAAUGGCCUACCAAGGCGUCGACGGGUAGCCGGCCUGAGAGGGUGUACGGCCACAUUGGGACUGAGAUACGGCCCAGACUCCUACGGGAGGCAGCAGUGGGGAAUAUUGCACAAUGGGCGCAAGCCUGAUGCAGCGACGCCGCGUGGGGGAUGACGGCCUUCGGGUUGUAAACUCCUUUUGCUAGGGACGAAGCGUAAGUGACGGUACCUGGAGAAGAAGCACCGGCUAACUACGUGCCAGCAGCCGCGGUAAUACGUAGGGUGCGAGCGUUGUCCGGAAUUACUGGGCGUAAAGAGCUCGUAGGUGGUUUGUCGCGUCGUUUGUGUAAGCCCGCAGCUUAACUGCGGGACUGCAGGCGAUACGGGCAUAACUUGAGUGCUGUAGGGGAGACUGGAAUUCCUGGUGUAGCGGUGGAAUGCGCAGAUAUCAGGAGGAACACCGAUGGCGAAGGCAGGUCUCUGGGCAGUAACUGACGCUGAGGAGCGAAAGCAUGGGUAGCGAACAGGAUUAGAUACCCUGGUAGUCCAUGCCGUAAACGGUGGGCGCUAGGUGUGAGUCCCUUCCACGGGGUUCGUGCCGUAGCUAACGCAUUAAGCGCCCCGCCUGGGGAGUACGGCCGCAAGGCUAAAACUCAAAGGAAUUGACGGGGGCCCGCACAAGCGGCGGAGCAUGUGGAUUAAUUCGAUGCAACGCGAAGAACCUUACCUGGGCUUGACAUACACCAGAUCGGGCCAGAGAUGGUCUUUCCCUUUGUGGUUGGUGUACAGGUGGUGCAUGGUUGUCGUCAGCUCGUGUCGUGAGAUGUUGGGUUAAGUCCCGCAACGAGCGCAACCCUUGUCUUAUGUUGCCAGCACGUUAUGGUGGGGACUCGUGAGAGACUGCCGGGGUUAACUCGGAGGAAGGUGGGGAUGACGUCAAAUCAUCAUGCCCCUUAUGUCCAGGGCUUCACACAUGCUACAAUGGUCGGUACAACGCGUCUGCGAGCCUGUGAGGGUGAGCUAAUCGCUGUAAAGCCGGUCGUAGUUCGGAUUGGGGUCUGCAACUCGACCCCAUGAAGUCGGAGUCGCUAGUAAUCGCAGAUCAGCAACGCUGCGGUGAAUACGUUCCCGGGCCU